UUGAAUACGAUUGGUACUGAUGCUGGCCCUUCACUGGGCAUGUGCUCGUCCAUCUAUUUAUCUUCUCUUGUGCACAUCUUGUAGUCUUGGAUGAACCCUUUCGCAUUUGUGCGGUCUGGGAGUUGUGAAAUUAAACCUUUGCUUCUCCUGCUUGUCCAAGGCUAUGUUUUCAUAUACACUAUAAAGUUACAGAAUGUCUAUUAACGACUUGUGCUUGUCACAGUCAUUAAACCUAUA
rnacentral:misc_RNA from 1 species